rnacentral:tRNA from 1 species
UGGCUCAGUGGUAGAGCACUUGCCUUGCAUGCAUGAGGUCCUGGGUUCCAUUCCUCAG